rnacentral:lncRNA from 1 species
UUUUUUUUUUUUUUUUUUUAUAAGGAGAGGUGUUGGCUGUUGGGCAUUGGCAAAACGCAGUCACACAGCCACGCACGAGGGGGAGAAAUCAGAAGGAUUAUUUGAUCUCUUCAUCAAGCCACGCAAUGUGCCACUGAAGCCCGGCGACCUCGGCCCACUCAAGAGCCAGCCACGGUCGGUCCUCCUGGGCUAGGCUGCUUGCCCCAUGUCCUCCUCCUCAGUCGAAUUGGGGCCCGGCCCGAAACCCACCCACUUAUCCAGCAAGCCACCGAGCACCACACCCCUAACAGGGGAAAAAAAAAAAAGCGCCGCCGCCGCCAUCGAGACGCCUCCCUUCGUCCCCUCAGCUGCCGCCGCCGCCGGUCGCUAACUUCUCGUCUUCCUCAGCCGCCUCCAGUGCCCGCUACACUUCGUCGUAGCCGCCGGCGCAUCGGCGUCGUCUUCCCCUCCUCCCCGGCUCGUUCCUCCGCCUCGCACCGAUAUGUCCGUGCCUUCCCCGAUCUUCCCUUCUCCUGUCGCAGUUCGUUUGAUUCCUGUUGAUGUGUAGGGCUAUGCUUGCGCUCAUUGACUAGGGCUUAGGUAUCAGAUGAAUUAGCAGCGUAAAUUAGGAAGCUAUUGUUCUGCUGAACUAGUCCUUGAUCCAUUGUAGUGCUCUCAUUCGGUAGGACUCAUGCUUGAUGUUUGGAGGAGACUGUGAAAAAUGUUAAUUUUUUCCCCUGGACUUGGCUUCUACUACAUUUCUGAAAGCUCCUUGUUGAAAAAUGCCUGCAGGACUGGGUCGUCUAAGAAGUCUGAGCUCAAAUCUAAGCAAAAACUGGAAAAGAAGCUCAGCUUUUACACAAGUAGGUGUGACCUUCCUGUUGAGUUGAUAAUCUUUUCCUUUGCAAAAAUCCUGAUUGAUAAUGUUUGAUGCUGCUGUUCUUGUCGUCUAUAAUUCAUCAUCUGUUUUAUCAGAUCUAGAUGGGCAGACAUGUGUAGGUAGUACUAUAUUGAGGGUUGCAGUUUGAUUGUUUGGAAGAAUUGACUGCUGACACUAGGAUAAAAAAUUGGUUUUUGCCAUCCCAAUUUUGUGCCAUUGUUAAACAAUUUUUUCUUCUCGAGGAAGGGUAGUAGCUCUGGCAGAAUGGAAAUUGCACCAAAUAGUUAACAUAACAGAAAUUUGUCAGCAAAGUGCCUACUCCCAGGCCUCUUCCUUCAGCCAAGAGAAUCAGAUGAUUAGGCAUUUAGGGGUUAGUUUGCAGUUGCAAAUGUCUCCUACAAGUUUCUACCCUGCACACAGCAAAGGAGUAUGUUUUCAUUCUUCACUUUCAAUGAUUUGUGUUGUAGCUUGAUAUAGUUUACCGUGAGUACUUGAAAAGGUGACUUGGAAGUUAUAACAGGACCAAUUUCAAGUGUGUUCUUUCUUGCAUUCCACUUCCAUUUCCCUACCUCGCUUUUAUUUUGCAUAAUAACAUGGCCUAUUUCAUUUACCAUAAUUUGUGCUAUAACUCAUUGGAAGUUUUGUUUUGUUAUUACAGAAGUAAAAGAUGCUGUUACUUCCUUAAAUGCUAAGAAGACUAUCAGUAAGGUACAUAAAACUCCUAUCCUUCAUUACCAUAUUAACAGAUUUAUCUCAGAUAUUGCAUGUAUGUUGAACUUCGCACUUGCGAAUUUCAUUUGAUUAUAGGCUGACUAAUCUCUAAACAUUAGUCUUCUUCUCAUAUAAAGAAAAUCCUAUUGUGUACCGCACUGCUAUGUAUGAUAAGACAACUUUUUCAAUAUGAACUUCUGUUAAAAGUUGUUCUGUAAACUUCUAAUGACCUUUCCGAAGAAGUUGUGGUACACUACUACUUAACUCACAACCACAUCCAAUAUGUUAGGACUGGUUGAUUUGUUGUAUAGCUUUUCUGGAGGAUAGCACACAUCAAUUACAGCCUUACAGGGUCACAUGCCCUGGGACAAUUUGGUCAAGUGCAUUCACUGUUUUACUAAUUCACUCUAAGUUUCAGUGUUUAUACCAAUUUAACAUAGGCCUUCCCAAAAGCUAUUGCUAGAAUUUUUUUGGCUGUUUGCUUGGCUAGUGAGAUUUACCCCUUAACUCUUGAACCUUGUAUUCAACCUGCCUAGAAAUUGAGCACAACCAGGUUACCAGGCCUAAAUUUUGUGAACUGUGCUGCACAAAAGCUUAAGAAGCUUAUUACUUUUAUCUCAGUCUUUUGCUAAAAUGCGGACCAAGCAGUGUGAAAAGAGGUUACGGUCAGUAUUAGCUGCUCAUGGCCGAGUCCAACCUGACGUAACUAGCAUCAGGGUCCUAUUUGCCAAGGCUCUUGCAAGAAAUCCAUUACGAACUAUGAUUGAUUGUUUCUAGAUUGUUUUCCAAUUCUGGUACUAGUAGUAGACCCUCCAUCUUCAACAUUAGUGUGAUGGCCACAACUUAGCAUCAAUUUUCAGUGAGGUCAAUACUAUUUAGGAGAACUGCCUUUGUAAUUUUAAGGGCAUGAUGCUAAAUGCAUCUUAACUCUAGUUUUUGCAUCUGUCGCUAAUCUGAAGCGCACUAUUCUCCCUUAUGUAUUCUAUAAUUUUACAAAAAAGAAGCUAUGGAGCUAUUGACUAUUGGCUUAAAUACAACCAUUACUCUAUCAAAGCUAACCCUUACUCAAUUCAAAGGAUUAGUAUUAAACAGGAAACAUCCCAUUUCUGAUGGAAGAUGUGAAAUGUCGUUGCACAAUUUCCACUGUUGCAGAUUGCAUGGGGCGUCAUAUAACAUCAAUAAGUGGUUUCGAUUUGAAAGUCACAGCAGCAUUAGUGCAUUGCCUUAUUGGUGUUGGUCAGUCUGAUUCCCUUAGCGCAAGCUUCCUGUAUGUCCACAUAAUUCUGUGUGUUAAUGGUGUACUGAACACAUGUUUACUUGUAUCUAUGCACCUUAAAAAUAAAUAACUUCAUUGCCAUAAAUAGAGUUUCACAGUCCUGAUUUAUCAAUAGAUGGGAACUUAAAAUUAACUCAGAACCCUUUCGUUGCAUGCACUGAGCUAGUUAUGUGUCUCCAGAUAUUUUUUUUAGUUUGCACUUUUCUUCCCUUUUUGUUCUUAAUGCUUUAUGAUGCCACGUUGUCCAUUAUAAGUUUUAAUUCUUGUGCAGAAACAGAACCAGAGUCAUCGCCAGAAGAAACUGAAAGCAUAUGAUCUCUCAGCGCUCUCCGAGUUCCUUCCCGAACCAGCUGCACCGGAGCAGAAGACCGAAGUAAAGCUGAACUGCAAGUCAAGGCAGACUUUAGUGUAAUCCUCUCCUGACAUCUUGCUUUCUUGCUUCAGCUAUUGCCCGUUCCAGCUGUGGCUUUGAAUUCUGAAACCCACUCUGCUUUGCAGGCUACGGGAAGCUGCUCAUCUGAAGGCUGUACUGAACAACCCGCAGUUCCAGCUCGAUCCGUUCGCCACAAUCCACCAGCACCUGCUAGCAACGCAGCCACCUGCAACUGCGAAGGAUGAUGCCGCCAAGCACGGGAAGGACUCCAAGGACAAGAAAAGGAGGAGGAAGAAGAAGAGCGCUUCGUCCAGCUCCCAAGCAAUGGAUAUCUGAUGCUGUAGCAUUGCAUUUGCAGGGAUAUAUAUGCUCGAUGGUUCGGAGGCCAUCUCCCCUGUUUCGUGAGUGAGAGCUGAACUUGUCGAAACUUGGUAUCGAUGUGCGUCAAAAUUUAGUUGCGGUAGAGCUAGUAUUUCUCUCUACUGAGUGAAGUUCACUGGAUCGUUGAGCACCCCAUCAACAUUUCUGAAAACAAAAUUCCUUCAAAAAUCAUUUCUCAAAAAAGAUCAAGGCAACCAUUUUUUAGACCAGCAUUUUCUGAAAACCAGGUGACGAUUUCUGAAACCAUGUCCAACAACGCUGAAACUCUGGCAAUAACACUUUUGGCCUCCUAUUUUUACGCCGGCCAGCGCUAAUCCUUGACUGCCACAUGAACUGAACCAGAACGAGAACAAGAUUCACCUUGCAACAACUAAAUUUCCGAUUUUUCCUCACGGUUCAACUGCCGCGCACGCGUUAGUACAACGGAUUAACAUACACGAUGUGUUUAGCAGUUAGUGCAUAAUCCGAUCCUAACUUCAAAGUUGAAACCCAACCGACUUGCUUGGGGUAAUAAUAAGGAAUUGUCCCAUCUCACCGGAACUCAUAGGAAAUUGAUUACUUAAACCAAAACCUUAACAAUAAAACUUAUCUUCUGACGAAUUAAACCCUAACAAUAGAAGUUGCAGUUGCAGCAGCACAAAUUAAACAGAGUGCCAGCAUCCACAUGUCCUCUCACACACCACACACAUGAUACGGAAUGUCCUUGCCUCAAUGUUGCACUUAAAUAAAUGGAUUGAUCACACCUAGCUAAUUGUUCACAAUUAUCUAGCUAGCUAACCAAUUAAUGUCUUGAGCGGCUGUCGAUCAAGAGAAGAACUUGUAGGUGGAGGCGUUGACGAUGAUCGACCGGAGACCUCCAAUGGGGGCAAAUAUUGUCAGGAGCACGCCGACGAUGAUGCAGAACUGCAGCAGGGUCAACACGAAAUUUAGCAUACAUAAACAAGUUACCAAAAUUUGCAUGAUGAAAAAUGCUUCAUGAAUGAAUAAGUUAAACUAGCAAAAUUUUACGAAAUAACAAUGACUCACCCAGUUGGUGAACCAGGAGAGGCUAAACGUCUUUGGCUUCAUGAUCCUCAACCACAGAAUGCAGGGGAGCUGUAAGAUCGCAGGUUCAGUCAAAUUAGUAAAAACCCAACAACUAGCAUAUAUCCUUUUUAAGUGCGUAGAAAUCUAUGGUUGGAGGAAAGAAACAGAAAAUAAAGGAUCUCACGUAGUAGGUCGUUGGCGCUAAUGCGAAACCACCGAAGAACCCUAACAAUCCACCGAAGAACGGCACGGCGAUGCCAAACAGAGCUGUGAAAACUGCGCGCGACAAGAGAGCAAAUGAACACUAGUAAUUAACCUUAAGAGGUAUGCAUGGAAUCAGCAAAACGCAAAAGUUGAAUACUUACCAACAUAGAGUGAGCGUGCAAUCAAACGGAGUGGCAGCCCUGGCGUGAACCGGAGCUUCUUCACCAGGAACGUCUCGAGCAUGUCGAACACCGGCAUGGCGUAGAUCUUUGAUGUAUUCAUGCAAAGCACAUCACAAGUUCAGAACAGAUCGAUGUCGAACACGUAGAUGUUGGGAUGAGAUGAUUUAGGGAUGACCGUACGUACCUGGUAGCCGCCGAUGACGUGGACGACGACGAAGAUGUUGGCCAUGGCGAUGAGCCACCGUGGCUUCUCGAGGGUGAUGAGGAUGUUGUCGUCGACGGCGUUGCCGAAGACGUAGUAGCCGACGAAGGCGACGGGGAGGUAGCAGAUGGCGACAACGAAGUAGGCGAGGACGACGCCCUGCCACAUGGGCUUCUUGGACGGCUUGUCCGGCGUCGACGGGAUCGUGGCCUGGAUCUCCAGCACCACGUUGUGACCCGCGUAGGCGAACGCCACGUCCCCCAGCGCGUUGAGGAAGUUGAACGUCUGCCCCGUCGCCGUCGACGCCGAUUUGCCGUAGUCCACGUCCGGCACCCUCCCCUUGUGCGCCGACGCCGCCCACGCGAUCGUCGAGUAGCUGCAAGCAUUCAUUGUCGUCAUUAUCCAUCAUGCAUGAAGAUCCAGCAUUACUUCGGAUAAUGAUCCCAUGAGAUCGAAAACAAGUGCGAAAGAACUCACCUGAGGGACAUGACGGCGGCGGCGAGGGAGACGAGGGUGAUGGAGUUGAAGUUUGGGAGCUGGGAGAGGAGGAGGUGGAUGGCGGCGAAGAUCAUGAUCCAGGAGCUGGUCCGUAGCGGCUUGCAGUCGGGGCAGGCCAUGGUGUAGCACUUCUCGAAGGACUUGCCGCCGGUGACCAUGUAGACGAUGCAGGUGCCGACCUCGACGAUGAGCUGCUGGGGCACGACGAUCCAGAGGCCCAGCUUCUCGCCGAAGGCGUGCUGGCCCAGCUCGUGGUAGCGGUCGAAGCGCUUGCCGGGGACGCACUCGUGCAUCUCCACCAUCUGCCACAGCGUGUACAGGGUGAUGAUCCACGACAGGAGCAUCGCCACCACGCCGGGCCCCCUGCACUCGUUCCCGUCGGUUUCGGAUCAAUCAAGAACAAGGAACAAUUACGCAGCAUCUGGAAACAGUAAUCAUGCAUUGACGACGAAGGAACGAGGCGUACCAUCCGAGCUCGGACAUAGCGUAGGGCAGGCUGAGGACUCCGGCGCCGACCAUGGCGGUGACGUUGUGGAAGGCGGAGUACCACCACUUGGCUUUGCGGGAGGAGGUGAUGGGAAGCCAGUCGUCGAUGGCCUGCUCCUUCUCCGUCGACAUGGACGAGGGCGCCAUGGAUCCGAUCACGGACGACGACGAAUUCGUCGAGCAGCAGGCGUAGUAGUCACGGAGGGUGGAAUGGGAUCUGGGGGAAGUAGUUUUUUUUUUUUUUUUUGAAAGCGAAUCUGGGGGAAGUAGUUGGAAGAGGGAGAUGCGUAUUGGUAGAUAUAGGCUACGGCGGGUGGCGCAGGGAUCUAGCUAACCGCUCGGCUGAUUCCCUCCCUAUUUUUGUGGAGCGAUCGAACAAACUGCUUGCUGGUGGACGGUGGUUGCGUUGCGGCGUUGGUUUUCCAGUAGCCUUGCUUGAGCGGCUGGGGCGAAAAUGGGCCUGUUCUUGUUGGGCUCUGAAUACGGUCCGCCAGACAGUGAGUGUGUGUUGAGUGGGCUAAUGGCCCCAACAAACCGAGCGUCCGAGGCCCAGCCCAGGGGCUCCUCCAGCCUCCUCAACUCACUUCCCUCGCGUCCCUUCCCGUCCCCGGCCGUCUGCGCCGCCGCACGCGUCUCGCUCCUUCUUCCACCGUAGCGACGUCGCCUCCCCACGCCGCCACCCCCAGAUUGGCGCGGCGCGGAGGUCCAUCCCGUCUACCCGGAGUCUGAUCGGAUCCUCCACUCGCCGGUAAGGAUGGGUUGCACCUCUUGCUUGCGGGAUUCUUCUUGUGCCGUGAGCGCUCCGAGUCCGGAUCUUCUGGUGGCGUGCGGAUGGGAAAAUUCCUCAGGUUUCCUGUGGAUUUGUUUGCUGAUCCAGCUUGAGUAGCUCUAGUAUUUUGUUUUCAGAUUUUGGGGGUUUUGCUGAACCUCAUACCCCCGCUUAGGUCCCUUCGUGCUUUGAAUCCAGCAAGAAGGGAAAUCUGGAAUCCACCAUCUUUCUCAGGAUAAAGCAAAUCGAAUAACCAGGAAUACCUGCAACGCGUAGCCCACACACGCUCUUUUUUUGCUUAGAAUAUUUUUGGCUGUUUGACCAAAAAUGACAGUGUAAUGUUUUCCUUCUCUUGCCCCGUGAGGCAAGGUCAGCGCCAGUACAAGCGUGCUAUGGAUCAAUGUAGCCGCAUCACUUUGCUCUUCAAUUAAUUGUCCAUACAGGACUAGUUAGAUAUGAGGUUUGUUUUGAAUGUUGAUGAGCACGGUUUAUUCUUUCAAUGUGCAGUUCGAGAAUCCUUGUAGGCUAAUGUUUGGAUUGCUCGAGAGUGGCAUAUGUCUAUGGUGCUAUUAUGUGAAAUUGUGUUGUUGAUAAAUGCCUUAUAACUUGGUACUUAUUUUGCAUGGGUUUGUUCUUAAUGCUAGCAAUAGGGGCUAUGAUAUUUUAGAUUUCUACCUGCUCCAAUUUGGAUGCUGGUACUUUUAAGGGGAAUAUUCACCGCGUUACCAUUCUUAUGUUUUGCAAGCAUACCACUUUCAGUUUCACAGUCUCCCAAAUACCACUGUAAAGGUUACAAAACCUUCCAGCAUGCCACUUUGGAAAAAUUUGCUGCUACCAUCUUCUCCAGCCACCACUCAACUUCAAUACUUACCCAAAUCUGCCUUAUCUGUCGUGAUUUACUGAUUUGUGUAUUCACUACAACAACAGGUGAAAAUACUGAUGUCAACAAUAGUACUUUCAAUUUGUGGACUAAUAUAUUAAUGAUAAGAAACUAUAGCUCCCUGAAUUAAGAAAUCCAACUAGCAGCAGCAAACUACAAUAUGAAGGCCCAAAAAUGGACUUUUUACUAUUUGUGUAUAUUUUCAAGGUACUCGUGCAUUGAUUCGGAUCUAUUUGAAUAACUUCCAUUCAAAUAUAUUUAUUCUUCAUUUACUGAUUCUGAUCUUCUGUAUCUACACCAUUUUUUCCCUGAUUUCACCAGUUUGAUAAUGAGGUCUCAUUAUGUGUAUGCAGUGAAAACUUCAACCAGGGAAUGGCAAUGUCUUGGACAAGAGGGUUAAAGCAUGUUGUUGCUCCGAGGCAUACGGCUCAACUGGUAGAGAGUAGAGGUCUUGCCAUUGCAAGCAAGGCAAAGAAGGGUGGAAAAGGUGGCGCUGAUGCUGCCAAAACUCCUGCCCUUAGCAAAGAGCUUAAGAGUUCAACAGUUUUUGGGGCAAACAUCCUCAAGGAAGGUUCAGAUCCGAAAAUUCAAGCAGACUCUGAGUAUCCCGAGUGGCUGUGGCACCUCCUUGAGAAGCGUCCUGUGCUAAGUGAGCUGCGGAGGAAAGAUCCCAAGACACUCCCUUACGAAGACCUGAAGCGUUUUGUCAAAUUGGACAACCGAUCUCGGAUCAAGGAAAACAAUGCUCUCACUGCUAAGAAUUGAUCUGGAGGGUCUCAGGAAGAAACAGGGCCUGCUAUUUUGUCCUUUUUAUCUGAAUACUUACUAGACAUAAUGAACUUUUUUUUGCCAAUAACAUAGUGGUUUGGAGCAUGAAAACUGCGGGAGCUGCUUUUGGUUUGGUACUAUUAUUGGCAACCUCUGAAUUUUACGAAGAUGUAGCCUCUGCCUCUUGUGUCCAGUGCUGUAGCAAUUCUCUUUAGUUCCAUGGUUCUGUGGCAUUAUCAGGUGUUGCAAUGUGCCAUGGCAUAUCACGGUUAACACACGUUUCAUUUCAUCUGAAUCUUGUUGGGAGGGCUGGAUUUUCAUUAAAUGCAUUUGUCAACUUGAUUUUAUCUGUAAGAGUUUCUCUGAUUCCUCAUCUAUACUAUAAAGAUUCAAAAUAAUUGAAAAUAUUUUUUACCCAAAAUAGUUUCCCUGUACCUCUCAUGUUGGACCUACUGCGCAGGUCAAAGGGGUGUGACAGGAAGGGGAGACAGAAAAAACGAUCAAAGGAAAAUGAUUCUGCCAAAAUCAAAUUUUUUUUGACACCGUGCUUUCUUCGACCCACCUGACAUACCCACCGCGAUCUCACCCUCAAAUUUUUCACCAUGAAUCAAUCAUCAGCCUUAAUAAUGCACUCUUUCCAAAUUUGUAAACCACCGAUAUCCCUACCAAAUAGACCACAUCAGGAUCCAAGCAAAUCACAAAUCAAUCAUCAAUCAGCGGUUGUGAUUCCCCUACCAUCAAAGCCACAUCGAAUAGCGCGGCUCCUCUCUCCUCACCCUUUCCUUCUCUGUCGCGCCCAUCCCAUCGGCCAUCGCCUCCCUAUUCAUCUGCGUCGCCUCUCCUUUCUCCUGCACUCCCUGACCAGUCCGGCCUCCCCCGGACUCCCUCUAUGAAUGCCGCCCCACGCCCUAACCAAGACACCACACGGCGGAGGUCCUCGCUGCCUUUGCCCUGCGCUCGUUCAUCCUCCACCGGCGUGGCCUCCUCCACACUGCCACACCUCGCGCGCUCGCCUACACGACCUGUCCGUUAGUCCUCUCAAUCACGCGUUGAUGCCGCCUCCACUCUGCCUCUGCUCCUCGAUCCCCCUCCAUCUGCGUCGCCUCGAUGAUGGCGGCGGCGACCCACAGGAUGAGGAUGAGGUGACGUGGAGGUGGAAGGGGCCCGUGGAACCAAACCCUAUCUAUCUGCCUCUGCUUCCUCCUCCAGGUCUUCAUCCACCACUGCCGCCUUGGUAGCAGCUUAAUCCGACCUCUGUGCAACCCGCCGCCAUGGAUGCUUCCCCUAGGGUGAUGUCCAAUGCCGAUUUUGAGGCCCCUUGCAUCAUAGGAUGACAUUAGGUAAGACGGCACCCUGAUUGGAUUCGUGAAAUUUACUCACGUUAUUGCUUUAGUCAUGUUCCCCUGUUCUUGGUAUUCUUGGAUCGUCACAGCUACUGGAGGAGUUUCUGCAGGAGAAACAACAACUUGGGCCUGUCCUGCAGCUGAUGCUCCCUAUUUGAGGCAGAAUGUUGAAUCAAGGUAAGAGAUAAUUCGGUUUACCAAUCUUCCUCAUAUUCACUAAUUCAUCUGCUCUCUUCCCGUAUAGGAGCCGGCUUUAUAAAAAGAGCUGUCUUUAGGCACAUUGGAUGACUAAGUAGAACUUGCAUAUUCAUGUAUCUUAUAUGAUGAAAUUGUUUGCAUUCUGGAAAAUAAUAGAUAUCAAAGAAAUAAGGAGAAUAUCAAGCAUACUUUAACACCUUGCAAGUCCAAAUCAUAUGCAUUCAUUGCCCCGGAUGCCUAAUUUUUGUGGAAGUGGUUUUGGACCAUUGAAUGGGAUGCAUCCUGAGGUAUGUCUACUAAAAUUGUUGUACUUUCACUAGGAUAUACUCUAUAGUCAUAUGAACAUGUCUUUAUGUGUCACGAAUGGAGCAAAUAAACUACCUUCAAAUCUACUUCUAAAACUAUUUAUCAACCAUAGAUGCACGCAUGAGUUCCAAAAUAAAUAGACCUGAUAUAUUAGGCAGGAGUAUAUUGAUAAAGCCUUGCCUGUUCAAAAACUGUAUUCAGUAUUUUCUUAGCUUGUUGAUCGGAAUAAUGCAUGCUUAUCAAUGCAAAUACUUAGAUGUAUCAUCCAUAUAUUUUACUUCUGAUCAAACAGGUAGGUUCAUUAGUUUUGCUUAAUGCGUUGGAUUACUUUAGUUGUAGACAGUGAGAUCAUAGAUGGGCAUUGUAGUGAUUAAGUUAAGCUAUGUUUGUACCUAUGUCAUUUCACCAAGUGUAGCUGGUUGUGUUGCUUGAGUGAUUAAAAAAACCUAUAACCUGUUCCUUUUAGUGUUUCUUAGAUUUUGUUAAUCUUUCAGUUAGCUUAUAGCACUGGCAUAAAUUCAGUUUAUCAGUAUCAAUUAGAUUUUCUAAAUGCAGCCACACUGCAGAGCUGUGAUAUGUUAAUAUUAGUGUUUGUUGGCAACACGAUCAAGCAUCCCUGACUGGAGCCAUCAAGUUUCAUCUUCUGCACUCAUUUCUAUCAAGGUGUUCAUCUGAUUAGUGAUAGAGAUGAAGGAAUGUGGUGCAUGUGCUUGAUUCUGCCCAAUACAAUUAAAUAUAUUUUUUUCAUUCUGCACCAUCAUUUUUGUGAUGUUCAUCUUUCAUCAGACUUGUUUGAUAGACAGAAUCUAUUUUUCCCAUGACAUGGUAGGCCAGGAGGAUAAGGUUGGUAGCCAUAAUUGAUGAUCUCUUGCAAGCAUGUCGAGCGUAAGCCACCAAACCUUAACUAGGAUUGGAACUGGAGUGUGUUAUGAUGGGUUUCUCAGAUGUAAGUCUAACCUGCGGUCCUUCUCAUGUUCACUCCAUUUUACUCAUUCCAUAUUCAAAUGUCCUUGCUUGGGGAUGGGGCACAUACAUUUCCUCCUCUAAACCCUUAUUCUUAUAUUUUCUGGUGAAUUCUGUGGCAUGUGUUAUAAUUAGAGAUGAUAUUCUUGGUCAUGGAAGGCGGAAAUACCCAAUGAAGGAAAUGUCUUUUCUUAAUUGAGUUCACACGGUGUGCUUGUACCAGAUGACAAAUGAUGCUUGUUUAGCCUCCUCUGUUUUGCACUUGGUUGUACUUCUUCUCGUUUGUAAUUCUAUAGCACAUUAUUUAGCUGAUUUGGGUGUGAGUUUGAUGCCGGGUGAUAUCCAGUUAUGGCCUGACAUGCUACCUGUCUUGGUGGUAGACAAUUUGCUGUCAGCUUAAGUUUAUGGAUGCAUGUUCAAUCUCAAUAAAUAAAUUGAGUAGUGAGAAAUAAUCAGGGUGGAAUGACAGUGUUAAGAGGUAGAAGCAGGGAAGGAGGUGGAGAGGAGUAGAGAGAAAACUAAAGUAAGAACCCAUUCACAUAUUUUUUGUCUACACUUUGUUUAAAAAAAGCGAUCAUGAUACUUUCAUCCUGGUGAAGUACUUAGGCAAUUUAAGUAGUUUAAACCUUGAUUUAAUAAUAUGUUUAGAUAAAUUCUAUGGCUUUGCUAUUUAUGCCGAUUAAAUAAAUAUAUCAGUAGUCUGUUUUAUGAAAAUAAAAUGUAAAUCAUGUUUUUAUUUUUUUUAAACACGUGCGUGCCGCACGUGCAUUAGUAUUACUAGUACCGUAAAGCUUUGUAAUGUUUGUUUGCACAGAAACGGUUCAAGUGUGAUCGCUGAUCGGUAUCGCGCCACAAGAAGUCUCGAGAGCAUAAAAAUGUAAAGGCGAUUACAGAACAGCAAUUGCUGCCUUUGCAAUCGUAUUAUCAUAACCUUCGACAUUCUAAAAGUCCAUGGUAAGCGAGACACGAACACUCUUUUUAAGAUCAGCGAAAGAAAAUGAGACGAGACGGAGACGUAUGCGAUCUCCUUUCCUUUCGGUCACUGCAAGACGAUGGUCUCCAAGAUCAUCAUGCCAUCGACCGCCCCACCCCUCUGCUGCUGCUGCUGCUGCUGAGCUUGUUCCCGCCGCUGCGACAUCAGCGGGAACUCCUUAGCGACUGCCGCCAGCAUCGUGCGUCUCGUCGCCGCGGCGUCGCCGGAGGAGGAGGCGGAGGUGGCGCCGCCCCUCGAGGCCGGCGACGACGACGCGGCCGUGGUGCCAUCCAGGGUGCCGUCGAAUGGCGCCUCGCAGAAGGCCAUCAUGGGCACGAGCCUCUUCUCCACCGACGCCGCCAUUGGGGAGAGGAUUCGGUUUCGAUGCGCUUGGUUCAGUUCGAGGGAUCGUCUCAACCGCGGACGGGGUUUAUAUGAUCAAGGCGCCCGUGGGUUACCGACUCGUUCCCGGCUCGGAAGCCGAGAUCGUGCCGGGAUGGAAGGCAUAGGGGUCUAGGAAUUGGAGCCGGCCUCCUCGUGCAACCCGUGUGUGGAUCGGCCGGAAGACCCUCGUGCGGGUCGAUCGCUGGCUGAGUCAUGUCUUCGGCGACGGGGCCGGUGGCGCACGGGAAGGGGAGGCCAAGGGCGGGUGAGGGAAUUAUAUGGAAAAAAAACACGAUUAAUGGGCGUGAUCCAAAUUAGGUGUUUUUAAAAAAUAUCAUCCAAUAUUUUCGUAGAACACUGUAAAAUAAAAUAGAUUGCAACUAUUUAUCACAAUACAAAUUAUGGUCUCUCACCUGUUAAAAAAUGUGGGUGGCAACUUUUCCCGUACCCCUAUUCACGGCUAGGAUCCCGUUUCUUAUCGAGGUGUCCAUGUCUUCACUUAUCUUCUCCCAUGAUCGAUAGGCGGAGAGGACAUAUGCCAGAGCAUGGUGUCAAUAUCUCCUGUUUACCUAGUCUAUCGCCCAUUUCCAUUACAAGACUGGGUAAACACAGGGACGGACCCAGUCCAAAAUUGAGUGGCAGCCUGCUAGUAGGUGGACCUUUGCAGCUACAGGAAAAUGACCCAAUUUGCAUUGAAAGCCCAUAAGUCGAGUGCCACCCAUAAGUCGAGCGGUGGCACGGGACACCACUAGACCUAUGUUGGGUCCGCCCCUGGGUAAACAGAUGGGUUGGCUUUGCUGAUGAGAUUGAUGGAGAGAUUGAGCUCCAUAAAGCAUCGUGGCUUGGGUGCAAGGGGUAGAACGAAGAGAGCCUAGUGGAGGCAUAGGGCAUAUGCCCCCACUCAGAUUUUAGGUUCCAAUGAGCUUUGAUCUUAUUUCAAGAAACUAUAAAGUUACAUGCAAUAGUAUGCUCUCGCUCAACAUUUGGAUUGUAUUAGCCCUCUCCUCAAUGACGGGCAUGAAGAACACUGUCCAUGUCAUCGUGGUGGACAACUACUGUCACGAGAGGUGGCUAAUGAGCAUAGCACAGAGCACGCCACACUCUUUAAAUUCAGAAUUCAGACUAAUCAAAACCAUGUAAUAUAAAUGCAGGAAAUUUAAACUUGCAUCGUUUAUUGUUCUUCAAAUUUCAUGAUACGUGUAUGCUAGUUAGCUUUCGUAUUAUGUCAUAAUCUAAUCCUUUGUGCAAUAAAUAGAAUAAGAGUAGAAAUUGAGGGAAACAUGGAGCAUAAAAGAGUAUAUGGAUCUUUUUUAAGUCUAUUUCAAUGUAUCGUGCUUGUUGCCUUUCAAGUAAAAAGAAUCAACUGGAGCCGUCACCAUAAGUCAAGCCUUGUGAGAGAUUUGAAGUUCAGAUACUUAUGAGUUAUUUAUAUUCUUGAAAAGAACCAUUUGAUGUACAAUAUGAUGUACAGAUGUAACAUGAUCACAUGCAAAAACAUUUAGGAUAAUAAAAAUGCGAUAAUAUGUGAUCUAUUAAAAAAAUCAGUUGCAAAAAGCCACAUGACAUUCCCCUGUUUUGUACAGAUCACACAAAUGAUCCCUUUUAAUGUUGCAAUUGAACAUGUUGCAUUUAUUAGCCUAUAUAUACUUAGACUUAGGUUUUUAUUUUUUUUACAUUUUUUAAGAACCCACAUGCAUGCAAACUAUAAACGGGUGUAGGCGCAUAUAGGCCGGGAGAGGUAUAUCGCUGGGAGCUGGAUCAUUGCAAGUUUUGUACUCCGCUCCGUUUCAAAUUGUAGGUCGUUUUAAUUUUUCUACAUUCAUAAAUAUUAUUAUAUAUCUAGACACACUAUAUCUAGAUGCAUAGAAAAAAAAACUAUACACCUAGAAAAAUUAUACAGCAGGACGGAAGGAGUAUGUUGCAUUAUAUGCCGAGACGAUGGCGAGAUGCGUGGGUCAAUUUGUAUACGCAAAGCUCAUGCAUAUAUGUCGAUCUUUUUCUUCAGGCGAGCAUUCUUCAAGGCGUGGAAAUUAAGCUUGCAUGGCGCUUCUCGUUCAUAUAAAGAAUGAAUAAGAAACGUGCCUGCAUGCUGACUCUGGUGUAUCGUAUACAUUCCUCAUCCUUGAUCCUAGGCCUCGGAGAUUUUGUAACCUAUACAUGUAUAGGCCGUGUGCCAGUCGAGCUAGUACUUUGAGAUGAGCACGCACUAUUCCUACAUGUCCUUGCAAAUCGGAGCUCUCAAAGUCCACAAAUGGCAAGCUUUUCAGAAAAAAGGUCCACAAAUGGCAAGCUUUUCAGAAAAAAGGUCCAAUAACAGGCAAUAUACAACAUAUCGCUGUAGUACUUUGAGAUGGACACGCCGUACGCAUUAUUCCUAGCUACGACUUACUUUGCAAAUCUAUAAAUUUAUCAGCUCUCAAAGUCCACAUACAAACGGCAAACUUCUUGGCACCUCUUAUAAAGCCAAGCUACAAACGAUGCUUUUGAGCUUCAACGUCCACGGUGGCCGUACGGGAAUUUACAAAUUACAAUUAGUAUGGGCAAUAAUGUACUAUUUAAACUAUAUGUAUGAUGAAUAAUUUUGUUGUUUAACUGCAUCGGCAUGCACGUGAGAGGGUUGCUCGCCCAGCACUGGAAACCAGCGCUGCUUCAGUUCAGAGUUCAGAUGUUGCAGAUGAUCACAGUAGAUCGUUUUCCCUCACUUCAAGCAAUACAGAGUGCACACACACAGUUGGUCAGUUGCAGUGAUGCCUUCCAAACUUGAUGCAGAAUUAGACUGCAAGAUCACCACAAUCCACAAUGCCUGCACAUUAUAUACUUCUUCCUCGCACCACUCUGAAAGAACAAAAGAACACCAACAAUCCUGGGCAGAACCAUUCAUAUACAAUCCAAGUUAUCAAUUCCCAACAAAACAAAACAAUUCAAAUUUCUGUUUCCUUAACAGUCAGUAUAAUAGAUACUACAGAAGCAGAAUGCAGUAAUUUUUUGUAAUAUGGCUGGCAAUUUUUCUCUAACAAUUUUCUACUGCAUAAACUUCUCUGGCUGCCGUAAAACGCAAAAAUGGUACAGGGAAUACUGUUUUUUUUUCACGGUCAGGAAAUACUGAAUAUUUGUCAUUAGCAGAGGAUUAUAGAUAGGCUUUACAGAGAUAAUCACCAAAGUCGGGCCGUCAUAGACUACAUUGCUGCCGGUAAUCUAGAACGACGUGCAGGAAGCUAGUGAUAUACUAAAUUCAAUCCAAGGUGAUCCUAGCUGGCUGAUCUGUUUUGUAUGCAAAAGUGUAUCUGCACCUUUCACAUACCUCAGCCAAAAAAUAGUGACGAUAAUUAUUAAUAAUAAUUUAAUAGUAGGCCUCCAUGUCCAUCAAUGAAUUGCGAACGUUCUACUUUUCCGACGGCACGGCAUGACCGAUACUACGCUUAUACGCAUGACAGUUCGAGGUCUGAAAAUUUUGGAGAGCAAAUUAUCAACAGCAGCCAGACCCGCAAAGAUUUUUUUUAUCUAACAUCGACAAAUAUAUGAUACAGGAAUCCAUUGGUAGUUGCCUAUCAAAGAUUUUGGACACAUCCUGAUAAACUCUCAUACAACAAAGUGCUUAAAAAAAAGACUCUUCUCCAUUGGUAAAGCACUCUAUAAUUUCCACACUAAUUGAAUAGCCUGUGAUAACAUUUCCAUAAUACAGAAAAUGGGCCAUUCUUCAGACUGGAAGUAUGAAGUAUCAGCACAUGUUCAUCCAUGACCUAUUACAAACGUAUUCAUUUUAGUUCAAAACCCAAAAGGUAUAUUAACGAAAGUAAAAAUCUUCUGCAUGUUACUUCAUAAGUUCAAUAAAAGCACGUCUUUUUUUAUGGGCAAGUCAAAAAAUUUGGUAUGUGUAACAACUGACUUGCACAGCUGUGCUGACACAAUACAUGGAACAAUGGUGCUGUGGAGCAUGCAUUGGCAACCAAAUUUAUCCAGAAUCAUCACUGGUCUAACUCAUAUUACAAGUUGUCUUAAUACAAAAUUCCUCAUCUAAUCCCUCCAGCUAUAAACUCAAUUCUCAGACUUGCCCUCAAUCAGCGGAUCAUCAAGCCUUGCAUCCCUUGUGUCCCUUCGUCAGUGACUUUGUUAGCUUGGAUUGUGUUGAUAGCACUGGCAAUGUUUCCCUGAAUCACAGUUUUUAGAUACCUCAAUCAGAAGCACAGCAAACACUGAGGGGGCAACACACCAUAGUCUCUCUAGAUAACAUGCUUAGAAAGUCGCAAAUUCAAUGUGAAUCAAGAAGUUACCCUCCAGGCUCCUAGUUUUGUGCGCAGACCCUGCCACUGUGGCAGCCCAAAUAUCCUCUCAGUAUGCCGACUGAAAUUCGCACAGCAGAUCACAAGUUAACCAACUAUGACGAACAAGAGAAACCCUGAUCCACAGCUAAAAUAUAAAGGCUGUCUGCAAAAGUCUUAGCGACGUGAAUACCUGACGAUGACAGUCUGGUUAAGCUGAUCGACCCUGCAAUCCAAUAUCUUGAACGCGAUUGCUUUCACAAUCCAUUGCUCCACCUCAUCAUCAUUGAUCUAACAAAGCAUUAUCAAAGUCAAUUAAAGUUUCAGCAAGGUAAAAGAAGCCAUUCGAUUGACUAAACAGUAAGUAAAAGAGCCAAUUUACCUGAAGUGCUUCAAUGAUUGCUGAAUAAGGGAUUUCGCCAGAGCAACGGCUGCUCAGAUCGAGCAAAGACAUGAGGCGCAUUUUGGUUAUGCACUCCUCAUGAACCAGUCCUGUCGAUUGUUCAUCAAGAAUCAAAGAAAUGAAGCCAGGAUGCAUGAGACACUUGAAUCCGGAAGGGAAGAAUCAUUAGUACUAGUCCAGCAGGAGAACAUACCAUAAUCUUUCAGCAAGGCAGAGUUUGCAGCCUGAAACUCUAAAUAGGAAUCGAGCCUCUUGGUAAGGAAUAUCUUUAGAAGUUCAUAAACCAACUGAUACUUUUCAUCCUUCUCAAGCUGUGCAACAGCUGGCAUAUUGAGUAGAUCACACUGCAAUUACAAAAAGUUCCCAUCAAUCCAGCACACUGUUUGGAAGUACAAAACUGGAGAAGGAUUUAACUAGAUGACCACCAUAUUCAUUGAUGUCAAGAUCAAAUUUGCAACAACUCAGAUACAUUCAGGAUUAUUAAUGACAUACAAGGGAUAAAGUUACAUAAUGGAAGAGUAGUGGAAGGAUUUGGCAACCUAAAUGAUUGAAGAAAAAACAAAACUGGUUAGGUGAUCACACAAUUAGGACACGAGAAGAUACUGAGAGGACCAUCACUGGUUAUUUGCAACCUGGGUAGCAUUAGAGCAUAUUUUGACAGUGAGACUAAUGCUGGCAUGUUAUAACCAAUUUCAACAGUCUGAUCAAACAAAUUCACAUUUGGAUAAAUGAUAAAGAUUCUGAUGUUAUAUUGUGACUCUGUGAGGCAAUAAUGAACAGCUCAUGAAAAACAAUGGUCCUUCUUAGGCACUAUAUUCCCUGAAUUUCUUCUCAUAGAAUUGAUAAUUACAGAGGCAUAGACUGGGGCAAUCAAGCACCUGGAAGAGAGUAGAUGAUUUGACAAACUCGACAAUUGCCGCAACAGCCUCUUCCUUGGCAUCGUCAAUUGUAGCAGAGUCAUCAUCUGAUCCCUUGAAAGUGGUGAGGUACUUGUUGAGGAAGUUGAAGUACUCCUUGGUCAUGCUGUCAAUAAAAAAAGGGAUGAAAUUGCAUCAGUGCAAAAUCUCGCCAGACAGUAUACUGAAAGUAACUUGAUGAUAAGUUGCAAGCAGCAUGCAUGCCUCACCCCUUAUGGUCUUUGAGGAUCCUGGUGAUGGCACGGUACAGCUCCCUCUGUUCUAAAUUUCCAAUUCCCCACUCACUGACAAAGCUGUCGAUGUUCUUGAAUGAUGGGAUGAUGCACUCAGCAGCCUUCCCAGCAGUGGCCAGCUCGAGAGCCUUCUUGUAAACAAAUGCCUUGCCGUAGGGGCUCGGGAGCAGAUUGUACAAGCUGAACAGACUAUACAUUGGAAACAGCAUUGUAAUUUGUAAGUGAACCUAGCAUUCAGGAAUUUCUAAAUUGAUAGUGGUUGCUUCUUACACUUUGAGGCGCAGCGCUGGCUUGUCUUCGGGCUGCUGGGUGAGCUUGGCGCAGAUGAGGUCGGUGAUCUGCAGCGCCUGGUCCUCAGAUCCAGCCUUGGUGACGAGGCUGCAGAUGACGGAGAGGAUGCACUCGAGAUCUGCAAGAGAAGAGUUGAAGGCUCAAUUGCCAUCCAGGAGCAAGCAGUGGGUAUACAAGUAAUAUAUUAUGUAAAACUAAACUAACAGCAUCGAAUAGAUACAGUCAAUGAGCAGUGUGCUAAAGCAAACAAAUAUGUAAAGGAUUAUCUGUGAACGAAUGGCCAGUAAGCAGACUUGAAUACUUGCGGUCCACCCAGCGAGCACAGUGGCCGGGCUAUCUUGCUACAGCUAGCUGUUAAGUGCAGCGAGUGGCCUUGGCCGUGAGGUCAAGAAGCCAUUAAGUACACUAAAAGAUGAGAUGAUGCAUGAGUGCUUGUAGUUUGUUAAGCGUGUAUAUAAAUUACUCAAUACAAUGCCUACCGAUGCUUCGAGAACAGAAGUGCUCGAGAGUCCUAAGAACAACGAAUGUGGCAGAGCGAUGGGUGGGACAUAGCAGAUUUGCAGUAGAAGCAGCCAUGGGAGAGCCUAAUGAACAGAUGGAUGCAUGCAGGCUUGCAGGGGUGCGGACCCUCAUGCAGUAGCUAGUUCACUAACGUUUAGCUCUUCAAAAAAUCUCUCUUGGGCAAGCAAGCAAAUCAAAUCUUGAGUUGGAAUAGAAAAAGGAAUAUACCUUUGUCCGGGACGCGCGACGGGGAGGUGAGGAGGAGGUCGGCGGAAGCGAGCAUGAGGGAGGCCAUGUCGAGCCAGCGCCCCGCGAGGAUGUGCUCCUGCGCCUCGAGGCAGAGGCGGGUGACCUCGGGGUCGGCGACCUCCGGGCCCGCGUCGGCCCAGGCGAGCUCGGCGGUGAAGCGCACCACCGCCAGCAUGGGCUCCUCCUCCGUCGUGUUCACGAUCGUCGCCAUCUUGUCGUUCCUUCGCUUUCGUGAGCCGGAGCUGCUGCCGCCGCCGCCGGAGAGGGUGAGGGAGGAGGAGAUGGGUGCGAGGGAGUAGGGUUUGGGCGUCGGGUGGCGGUGACGGCGUGGUCGGUCGGGUGGGGUGGAAUGGGCCGGUGGGGAAGGGUGAGUUGGGUUAUAGUUAGGGUUUCUUCUCGUCAGUAAUGGGCUUGGGCUGCCUGCUUUGUGUUAUUGGGCCUUUUAUGUAUUUCGGUUUAUUCACGACAAAAAGGUAACGGUGAUUAUGUGAUCAUUCUUUAUUUCUUUGUGUACAAGAAAUCUGGUUUGAUCCAUGAGGGGGUUUAUGGGUAAUUUUCCUUUUCCUUUUUUUUGUCUAUGUGUAUAUGUUUCUUUUGUUUCUCCGUAUUAUGAUUGCAGCUGCCAUUUGCCAAUAAUCAUUCAGUUUUCCUUCAAGCUACCAAUUUUCAGUGCAAACAAUUACCUCACUGAGGAUGUUUACCUUAAUGCACAACACGUGAACACAAGUUACAUACUCAUAUAAGAUUCAAAUGAUUGGUAACUGAAAUAGUUAUUUGAUGAACUCCAUUUGAUCUUUCUCCAGUGACUUAUCUGGCGUCAACAAGGCAAGAAAAUCCUCUUCAAUGGGUCACAAAUCUUCAAAGAAUUGUUAUACGCAGCGAUCUGCUACUUGGUUAAAGUUGAGGCUGCUUGUAAGUUGGUUCGUGUCAUAUGAGCGACCUUCCUAAAAUGUUUCCUUAGGCUCGAUAUAUUCACAAACUCUGCAUCUAAACUUUUGGCCAACAGCUGCUUUGGUAUCUAGCCAUUACUCCAAACCCAAGUAAUCGCAAAAUCUGUGUUCAGAAGCUCAUGUGGAGAAGCAGAACCAUCUGCAUCAUUUUUUUGUUUUUUUAUUGUUCAUAAACAAUAUUAAAGAUCUUAAUUUUUAUCUAUAUUCUACCCGUUCAAGUUGAACCAUAGUACUUUUGGUUUACAAGAAAAUUGAACUUCACUUGCGAACCGAAAAAGCCAACUCAAGUUUUUCGACAAGCCCGGCCCUGAGCUUUCCAGCUUGCUAUUCUUAACAGGCUGAGCCAACUCAAUGUCCAAGCUAUAGAUCCAAAUCAUAACAAGAUCCAACCAUAGAUAAAGGCCUAAAAGCUCGACCUAAUAAUAGAAGAAUGGAAUUUUCAUUGAACAGUGUAAGGUUUCCAUUGAGGGUUAUAGUAGUACUAGUUGUCGACAAACAUAAAUGAAACUUUUGCUUGUCGUACAACUUGGAGAUGAAAAAGUAGCAUGUUGAUUGAUGCUACAACCAUCUAAUUAAUUGAUUAUUACUGAAAAUAUGAAAAAUCUUUUGGCAUCACUAUAAUUAAUUGAUUAAUACAUUACUACAAAACGUCUGAUCAAGCGGUUGUCAAAGUGGUGUGCUAUCAAUCUAUCAUCCGGCUUCCUGUUGCCACCUCUCCCAUAAAAAAACAAAAUAAGGGGGUAUUUGGAUCUUUAGUCCGGACUAAAAUUCAUGUCACGUCGAAUAUUCAAAGGCUACUUAGGAGGACUAAACAUGAGUUAAUUAUAAAACUAAUUACACAGAUGGAGGCUAAUUCACGAGAUGAAACUAUUAAGCCUAAUUAAUCCAUCAUUAGCACAUGUUUACUGUAGCAUCACAUUGUCAAAUCAUGGACUAAUUAGGCUUAAUAAAUUCGUCUCGUAUAGUCUACAUAUAUGCAAUUGGUUUUAUAAAUAGUCUAUGUUUAAUACUUCUAAUUAGUAUCUAAACAUUCGAUGUGACAGGAAUUUUAGGAGGUACUAAAGAAACAAACACCCCUAAAACCAGUUGCCAAAUCUUGCCCUUGACCUUGGAAUAAAUAUCCACCAAUCGAAAAGUUAGGCAGAUCGGAAGAUGACACAAAUUAAUGAAGAAAAUACCAAAAGAAAGACUAACCCUUCUAUAUGCUAUUCUCAGUGAUAGUGUUAAUUAACUAAACAAUAGAUGCUUUGAUGCUAUGAUCCAGUAAAGUAGUUUAGUAGUUUCUUCUAGCAGCAUCAAGUAGCUACAUAGCUGCGGAAAGUGUUGUCGAAUAGUAGGUGAUAGAUUAAUGUACAUGAAUACUAUCAAUGCAAGGGAAUGCCCUAUAUACAUGAGAUAAAUGGUUAAUCCAUAUAGUCCAAUGUGUUGAUAAAAUCUUGGUAAAGGGGAUUAGUCACAUUUUGAGACCAAGUAGCUAGUCAAUUCGUCCAAAUAGAGAGUGAAAUUGAAACAAAUUGGAUGAUGGUGCAAUUAAAUGAAGGCCGAAUCACUACUACAGAUUGGGUUAUCCCAGACGCCCUAUCACCGCCGGUUUCAGAUAACCUGGCGGUGAAACUCCCAUUCUCUCAAAAAGUUUGUGAUACAGAACAUAAUCGGCGGUGAAAACUAGCAUCACCGUCGGUUUGUGUUUCAAACUGGUGGUGAAAACUAUCACCGCCGGGUCUUCCCACUGUCCGGUGGUGAAAGGGGAGGUCGGAUCCAAAAUUUUAUCAAUCACAGCUCAUUCUUUUCUCGCGUUCGCUCUCUCCCUCCCCUGACUCCCUCAUCUCCCUCUGCUGGCCCCCUCCCUCCCUCUCUUACUCUGCCAUCUCUACCUCCGGCCCUCCCUUCCUCUCUUCCUCCCUUUGGCUCUCCCUCCCUCUCUUCCUCCCUCUGAUCCCCCCUCUGCUCACUGCACAAACCCCUCAGCCUGGCAGAGAGGAGCGGUGGAGGGGCGAGGUGCGGAGGCGGAGAGGAGCAUCGGCGCACGGAUUCGUGCCGGGGAGCCUCAGCGGCGCGCGGGGAUCCGGCAGCGGUGGGUGGGGGGAAGGGGUGACAAGAUCCGGCGGCGGCGCGGUGGCGGCACCCGACGGCGGGGAGGUCGGGCGCGGGGGUUUUUUAUUUUAUUUUUUUAAUAGGCAUCACUGCCGAUUCCAAAAUCAACGAUAAUGGCGUACCCCAUCACCGUCAAAUUGGAUAUGAUGGAUCCCAAACCGGUCGGUUUGAGGCCGACAGUGAUACUACUUUCUGUAGUAGUGAAUUGAAAGGCCUCGAAUAUCUUCGAUGUGACUACACAGUAUUAAAAGUACAUGUAAACGCCCACCUAUCAAACUGAAUUUAUUCAAGCGGGCCAUAUAAUCAGACGAACGGUGGAGAGAAGCUCAGCUGCCAGCCUCCUGGGAUCAGUUAAUCCACCUCCACCUCACAUACGUGAUACGUCCCUGUCGGUAGCAGCACACACUACAAAUUUGCAUCAUCACACAGCUUAUUUCUUCAGUCAUUGUAGACGCACUCGCUCCCAAGCUAGAGCAACCAUCGAAGAUGUUCUCGCAGCGUCAUCUGCACUUCCUCUUUCAGCUCCUUUUAGUGCACCCACUGUUGUCACCCAGCGCGGCGGCCGCCGCCGGUAAGGUCUCGGCGAUCAUCGUAUUUGGGGACUCGACGGUCGACUCCGGCAACAACGACUACAUCCUGACCAUAGCCAAGGGCGAUUUCCCGCCGUACGGGCGCGACUUCGACGGCGGCAUCGCCACAGGCCGCUUCUCCAACGGCCGCCUCGUCACUGACUUCAUCUCGGAGGCGUUCGGCUUGCCGUCGUCUGUGCCAGCCUACCUUGACCCCAGCUGCACCAUCGACCAGCUCGCCAUGGGUGUAAGCUUUGCUUCCGGAGGCACUGGACUCGACGACUUGACCGCAGAUAUAUCCGUGAGCUGAAUCUCUAUCACCUGUCUCAAUAUGAAAUUUGAUCAUAACGUCUUCGAACUCAAAAUCAUGAUUUUGCACAAACUUUAGGUUUUUAACAUAUAUCUUAAUUAUUCGUUUCAGAACGUAAUACACGUGAGGCAGCAGCUGGAGUACUUCAAGGAGUACAAGGAGAGGCUGACGGUCUCCAAGGGCGAGUCCAAUGCCAACAAGAUCAUCGCCGACGCGCUCUACUACUUCAGCAUCGGCAACAACGACAUCGGCGUGAACUACUUCCUCCUCCCCCAGCGGCGUUCCCAGUUCAGCCCGCCGGAGUACGUCGCCUUGCUCACCGACAUCGCCGGCGCGGCCGUCCGCGAGGUGUACCAGCUCGGCGGGCGCAGGAUCCAGCUGACCGGCAUCCUGCCGGUGGGGUGCGUGCCUGCCAUGAGGACGGUGAACCUUCACCAGCCGGGCCAGUGCAUGGAGGAGUUCAACCAGUUCGCGUUGCUGUUUAACGCCGAGCUGCAGAAGACGGCGAGUAAGCUCAACAGUGAGCUCACUGGAGCGACGGUGGUGUAUUCGGACAUGUACAGCUUGGUGUCCUCAAUUAUUGCCAACCCGCUGAAAUAUGGUAAGUUAAUUUGGCUUUCAAGAAGAGUAUUUUGUGGGAUCUUUCGUUUAGUUUCAGUUGGUAUGCAUGCUGUUCAUCUUCAUCUUAAGGGUUUGUGAAGCACGCGUUCAUGUUAGCAGCUGUAUGCUUACAACAUGCAAUAUUUUACGUUGAUCAGAGUAUCAGUGCAGUAGGAAGUUUUAACAGUGUGAAAAUGUCUUUCUUAAUGGUUACCAGGAUUUGAGAAUGUAGCACAAGGUUGCUGUGGCACCGGAAUUAUCGAGGCGUUGUUCCUUUGCGGCUUGGAGGAACCAUUGACGUGCGAAGACACUGAUAAGUAUGUGUUCUUCGAUUCGGUUCAUCCAACAGAGAGGAUAUACAAGAUGGAAGCUAGUGAAAUGCUGAAUACUUCGCUAGCAGUGUUCCUGUGACGUGUUUUAUUAUGCUCUGCAACAAAACAUGAGAAGAUGGCAUUUCUAUAAGAAAUAAAAGACCAUUUGGGUGUGAUGAGUGGUUGGAGAGUCUUUUCUCUUCUGAUAUUUGGUUUGAGAGUUUGAGGAUGUGCUAUAUAGUUUCAUUGUACUCGAGUUUACCGUGAAAUCCAGAAGUACAAUAACAUUAUUCAAAUAUAUGCCUAGUGAGUCAUUGUGAUUAUCUGGUAAUUUAUCAUGAUAUUUCUGAGUUCAAGAUAACUCUAUGAAGUUUAUGCCAUGUAUUCCAUGUGUCUUUGUUCUGUCAAAGAGUUUUGGAAACAAACAUUAAUUGAUGAAAUCUUAAUUAUAAAAAGAAAUCGAUGAAAUCUUGAGUACAAAGGCUUUCCAUAAGUUUAAGGCAACACAUGUUGUUUCAUAGAAUUGUUGGAUGUGUUUUACUUAACAAAAAUCAACCUGAUAAUUGUUACAGGAUCGGAGGGACCCAACGGUCAGUUGUUACUGCAAUAGUCAGUUUCUUUGAGAUUGUGAAAAUCUUAGUAAAGGAAUGUGCUUGGAUGACUGUAGAACAACAGAAAAAUUUAGUUUUUAAGCAACUGAAGAUGAUUUUGACUUAUAUUAUAUCUGCCUCCCAAAUGUGUCCCAAGUCCAUUGAUCACCAAUAGUUUCCUCUUAGGCCAUGAACCCAUUGACUAUAUGUGAGAGGAAUAUGGAAAAAAAAUUAUCUACAUUGAAUGAAAAUAGAUGGUUUUCAGAUGUCAUGAAUACUUCAAUGUUCACCCAAGCUGCACGAGAAAGAAUAAUUUUAUUGUUUUUAGAAAAUGGAAAUAUAUCCAGCCUCUCUCUCCGAUCAACGCACACAGCCAAGUUCUACAGAGUCUUAGCUUAAUUGCUGAUCUUAAAAAAUAAAAGGAGAAACAGUACACAAAAGAGAAAAAUAAUCAUAAGCAGUGAUCAACGCACACAACCAAGUUCUACAGAGUCUUCAGCUUAAUUGCUGAUCUUAAAAAAUAAAAGGAGAAAGAGUACACAAAAGAGAAAAAUAAUCAUAAGAAAUGUUUAAUAUUGCUUAUCCAUCCAUUCUUAACCAAAAAUUUCCAAAGCCUCCAUUGCUCUGCUAUCAAACGGAUAGUCUCCCUUCACUGGUAGAAAAACAACAUUCCAUCCUCAACAAAAAUCUCGGUUAUUUUUUGACCCGGGACUAAGGAGUCUUUAGUCCCGGAUCUAAAUUUGUAGUCCAUGGAGACACUUUUAGUCCUGGUUGGUGUUACAAACUAAAGCCUCCGAGGGCUUUAUUCCUUUUGUAGUAACCGGGACUAAAGGGUCCCCAACGAGUUACUACAAAAGGAUUGCAUCCCCUACUCAGUUAGAUGUGUUGUGCAGGUGAGAUGGUAAAGAAGCUACGCGCGAGGCUUGAGGUCGUGGGUUUGAAUCCUACGCACCGCGCACGCGCAUAUUUCACGUGAAAAAUCGCGUGACUUGUGAUUUGGGAGGGCCUCCCGGGUGAAAGACCCGGGAUUAAAAAUAGGGACCUUUAGUCCCGAUUAAUUAGUCUCAAUUGGGAAAACUGAGAUAUAUGAGGUUUCCAAACCGGGAUUAAUGCUCAUUUUUCUACCGGUGCUUAUGUUCUCAUGCCACGUUAAUAAAUCGCGGCCAAUAUGUUCCCCGAAGGUAACCUCCCAAGCGAAUGAAGAUCACCCAUGAGCAGCUGAGCACGAACAGGGAAUGCUGAAACACCAGAUGAAUCUUCACGACGAUGCCUUCAAGAAGAACACGACGCCAAUGACGGCAUCAUCGUCAGCCCAAGUAUUGGGCUGGGUUUACACUUGGAGAAUCAAAACAUCGCCACACGGGGGAGGUGCAAACGAAGUCACCUCCAAAGAGGCAGUGGCACCCGCAAGCGUCACUGACCAGGCUUUCGCCUCGACCUCCACCACGCCAUGCCAGCAGCAGCCUGAGCGGAAAUACGCUCACCAAGCUGCUGAUGGUGCCGAACACGCCCGCACUGCUAUCAUUAUCGAGAGCCGACUGCCAUCAUCGCGAACUCACACCCGUUGCUUAGGGUAGGACGCCUACCACAGCAAGGCCUAGAUGCACGUGUGGCAUCAUGGCCGACACCGCACCAAGCCCACUAUGCUGCCAGGUUGUCACAGCCGGAAGGGCGCCGGUCGAUCAGAUCCGGCGCCCAGCGCAUGGAAUCCACCCAUAGGCUAAUAUCUCUAGAAUCACUUCAGAAGAAUAAUUUUAUUUAAUUUAGUACUCGAGAACAACCGGGCAAGCAAUAGUUAGGCCAUGUUUGGUUCCAUAGGACUAAACUUUAGUCCCUUCCUUUUGGCCUCUUUUAAUCACUAAACUUCCAAACAGAGAGACUAAAAGGAGGACUAAAGGGUUUAGUCCUCUAGUCCCUUGGGAGGUGACUAAAAGGGACUAAAAGCCCAGGAGGACACCCCUGCCCCUCAUUUAUUGCCCAUUUCCACCUGUCCCGAACCAUCCCUUCAGGUCACCCUCGCUUGCUGCCCUCCCCGCCGCCACCGCCCCCUCUCCUCCCCACGCCGGCGCCACCGCCCCCACUCCUCCCCACACUGCCGCACCCGCUCCUCCCCACCACUGCAUCCACCAUGGACGGCCACGGGAACGGCUACCGUGACUACUUCUCUCAGGUGGGUUCUUCAUCGUCGGCUUGUAGCUUCCCUGCUUUCCCGGACGCCCCCGAUGAAGAUGACUUCAGUCUCUUCUCCUAGUCGGCAUCGUAUCGUCCGGCGGCCCCCAGCCUCUCCGCUCCCCUGAUGCGCAUGGAGCAUCUGGAUCUCAACUCCCAGGCCGACGACUUCCCCCACCUUGGCUUGUACCAGAAGUACCUGCAGGUGGAAGUUGCUCCAGGCGACCAAGGGCUACCUCCCCUUGGCCCUGGAGGAGGCCGUGGGGUAGGUCGCCGCUCGAGGUCGCUGACCACUAGAGCAGGAUCCGACGGAGGCCAUGGGGGAGGUUGUAGGGGAUCCAUGACUAACCAGAGAGGCCAUAGGGGAUCCAUGGGGGAUUGGUGGCUAACCGCAGAGGCCGUGGAUCCACAUUUCCCAGAAACAGCUCCGUUCCUCCAGAGCAUGUCAGCGCACUCGAGGAGGAAGAUGACAACGGCUUUGAAGGCCUUCCCAUUCGGUAAGAUCCAGAUCCGUGCUCUGAUUUCCUCUGAUAAGAUGUUCCAUUACUAGCUUUGCUCUUUUAUCAUGAGUUGAUUUGCUAUGAUGUGAUGCUCCAUUAGGUAGUACAUAUGUUGAUUUGGUCCAUUAGGAUUUACCUAAUUAUGUUUUCUAUAAUAGAAUCAUUUUGACAAGGCCAAUUGGACUGAAGAAAACACACAUAUAUUCUGUGAUCUUGUUGUUGAACAAAUGAGGUCAGGGAAUUACCUGAUCAAGUAGAGGUUACAAUGAGAUGCGACAACAAUUUUUCACAAAGACUGGCCUCACACGUUCAACCAAACAAAUGAGGAACAAAUGGACUCAAUGCAAGACCCUUUACACUUUGCUGGGUGUUUCUUAAUCAACAAAUUGUAUUAGGCCAAGCACCUGAUGGAACAAUCAUAGCAUCGGCUGCUUUCUGGAAAAACACACGGAGGUAAUUUAUCUUUGAACCGUGUCAUCAUAUCUUCAUGACUGUGAUUAUAUCUUCAUGUCUGUGGUCUAAUUUAUCUUUGCUUUGUGUGUUCAUUUGUGUAUUUCAGAAAAAACCGGAGUGUAAGAAGUUCCAGUACGCCAUACCUACGUACAUGGAGCAACUAGCUGAGAUGUUCCAUGGGGUGACAAUAGAUGGAUCCACCUCAUGCAUCCCUGGACAAGCACCUCAUGAGUGUGAAGGAGCAUAUGGUGAUGAGGAAGGUGAAGAUGCAGAUGGAGAAGGCUUUCUAAACAGUCCAAUGAGUAGUAGCAGCCGCAAGAGGGCAAGCAGCACUACAAAUACAACCACAAGUCCACCCAAGAAAAGCAAAAGUCCAAUGUUGAAGAUGUUUCAGGAGUUGAUUACAGAGUUACAACCUGCCAGAAAUGAGGAACAACAAACCUUAGCUCAAAUUACAAAUAACAAGAUAAGCUAGAAUGUAGUGCAACAUACGAGAAGACAUGGAUAUACCAGUCAGAAUGUGAUAGCCAUAUGUGACUUCAAUAUGAGAUUUACUUUUGUCGUGGCGGGAUGUCCUGGCUCAGUUCAUGAUAUGAGGGUGUUCAAAGAUGCAAUUGAGAAGUAUGGAGACAAGUUUCUGCAUCCACCUCAAGGUAUUGACGUGUUCUAUGCUCUCUUUUGUCUAACUUGCCAUGUGACUUACAUAAAAAAAAAUUAAAUGUGUAGGCAAGUUCUAUCUUGUCGACUCUGGGUACCCAAACCGACCGGGUUAUCUUGCACCGUACAAGGGUACAAAGUAUCAUCUAUCGGAGUAUUCACAAGGCCCAAUGCCAAGAGGUAAAAAAGAGCACUUUAAUUAUGCACAUACUUCACUUCGAAAUGUCAUCGAGCGGUCUUUUGGAGUUUUGAAGAUGAAGUGGAGGAUUUUGUUAGAUCUACCAAGUUAUCCGAUGCUAAAGCAAAGCCAAAUAAUUAUCGCAUGCAUAGCACUUCAUAAUUUCAUUCGAGAGAGUUUUUUUGCGGAUGCAGACUUUGAUUUGUGUGAUCAUGAUGAAAACUAUGCUCCAUUCUCCGAAGCAUCGUCUUCUCAAGGAAAUACAGCUAACACAUGUCAUAGGGACGAAGAUCAAAGCAUGAAUCAGUUUCGUGAUUGGAUAGCCGAUGAUUUGUUUAGUAGGUCAUAACUAUGAUGAUUUCAAAUGUAUGGACAAUUUUUCGAAUGUAUGAGCAAUUUUCAUGCUAUGCCAGGUGCCUAGAACCGGCCAGCAGUGCGGCAAGGCAGCGUGCCCUGAGCAAAACAGAUUUUGUGCAUAUAUAGAGCAAUUGGGGAGUGCUACAAAAUGUUUAGGAUGCAGAUUUUGUGCAUUGAUUAGGGAUAUUUUGAUUUUUGUUCAUCUGCUUUAAUGGACUUUAGUCCCUGGAUCACUUAAGCUUUUGGGGAGCCUACGUGCCAAUUUUGUGUGCACUACAUGAAGCAAAAUCUUGAUUUUGCAGAAACUUUGUUCUAAUGGAUGUGGAUACGAUAAAAAUAAUAGAGGGUUUUAAUUUGGAGAACAACCCAAUUUCCUACAGGUAUUGGAAGAUCCAUCUACCCCAGGACAAGGAAACUCUUAAGCUCAAGGCAAUGGAAAAGGAGGCAGCACAUUGAAGUCCAAGAGUCCAAGUAGUAUCACUUUUGAAUUUCAAUAAAAUGUUGAUUCCCAUCAUUUGUGACUGAGAUCUACGUACGUUUGCAGUUGGUCAAGACUUUCGAACAUUUCUAAUGGCAUGAUAAAAUCAUGAAUUACAGGCAUUUCAAGGGGCAUUGUAAACGCCAAAGCCCUCCACAGUUCGGAGUGAGAAAAAUGAGAACCAAGAUAUCAGUGUAUUUUAACGGGCAUUCAUUUCCUCGUAGCAUGUCAGUACUUGCAGAGGUGUAGAUGUAGUGUCCUGAUCCCAUCGAGAUUUGGACAUUCAUUGUUGUACGAAACAACAGCAGGCAGCCACCAUUGCUAUGGUCGCAACCAACUUUCUGGUUUGACAUCGACCAAACAUGCAUGGUACAGGAAAAGCAUUGCCAGGCCUCUGUCAAUGGUACUGGGGCAAUUGUUCAAUGCUUUGUAGUUUGUAUGUUACUUGCAGUUGCAGAGGUGUAAACUCGCUUGAUCACAUCAAGAUCGGACUGACUGUUUGGAGCUGGACUGACUUUUUAUUUAACACCGAACAAUAUACUAUAGACAGGCAACUGAUCAGGUCAUGAUUUUAUUGCAAGAAACAUCUUUCCAAUGAGCUACAAUUUCCAUCAAAACCUUUUGCCCUUCUGUCAUCUUUAUAGAGCAUUCUGAUAAUCCCUGAGUCAAAAUCAAGCGCAAUGUUUGCAAAAACACUAUCUCUAUCAGUUCCACACUAGAUAGCCUAUAGUACAUUUCAAAGGACAAAAAAGGGAACGAUUUUGUUCACUCCCUACUGCCACCCAUGCUCAACACAUCGCCGGAUCCAUCAAUCACACCUCAGUUACUAUCUGUGAAGUCCGCAUCAAUGACAUCCCCAUCAUUGGGUCCCUUCGCAGGUCCAGCACCAGGCGUAGGCCCGGCCUCAGCAUCAGGGGUAGAUCCAGCUGCACCAGGCUGGUUGUACAUUGCCUGCCCGAUCUGCAUCACCUCCUGGUUCAAAGCAGCCAUGGCGUCCUUCAUGCCCUGUGUUGAUCCACCAGAAAUGGCGUCUUUGAGCUCCUGGAGCUUCACAUCCACCUUCUCUUUCACAGGAGCAGGGACU